rnacentral:rRNA from 1 species
AGUGAACGCUGGCGGUAGGCCUAACACAUGCAAGUCGAACGGCAGCACAGUAAGAGCUUGCUCUUACGGGUGGCGAGUGGCGGACGGGUGAGGAAUACAUCGGAAUCUACUUUUUCGUGGGGGAUAACGUAGGGAAACUUACGCUAAUACCGCAUACGACCUACGGGUGAAAGCAGGGGAUCUUCGGACCUUGCGCGAUUGAAUGAGCCGAUGUCGGAGUAGCUAGUUGGCGGGGUAAAGGCCCACCAAGGCGACGAUCCGUAGCUGGUCUGAGAGGAUGGUCGGCCACACUGGAACUGAGACACGGUCCAGACUCCUACGGGAGGCAGCAGUGGGGAAUAUUGGACAAUGGGCGCAAGCCUGAUCCAGCCAUACCGCGUGGGUGAAGAAGGCCUUCGGGUUGUAAAGCCCUUUUGUUGGGAAAGAAAAGCAGCAGGUUAAUACCCCGCUGUUCUGACGGUACCCAAAGAAUAAGCACCGGCUAACUUCGUG